CAAACCCCCGGAGAAUUCCAUUAAGUUGGGUGCCGAAGGUGCAAGCGAAAUCGCAAAUCUCUCAGGCAAAAGGACGGGGUG
rnacentral:ncRNA from 1 species